GCAACUCGCCUACAUGAAGCUGGAAUUGCUAGUAAUCACAGGUCAGCAUACUGUGGUGAAUACGUUCCCGGGCCUUGUACACACCGCCCGUCACACCAUGAGAGUUGAGAAUACCCGAAGUCCAUGUCAAAGUGGCCGAAGGUAAGCUUGAUGAUUGGGGUGAAGUCGUAACAAGGUAGC
rnacentral:rRNA from 1 species